UUUUGUAGUCACAGUAUGAUACUUCCAUGUUUUCAGCCUGGCGACAUUGGCACAGCUAGGGCGGGCAGCGGGCGGGACCGAAGGACGAUUCAGUUGUAGCUGCACGACUUAACAGCAGACACCCGCUGCUGUUGCUCCACUGUCCCCACCUUUGUUUACUUGUUUACCUCACCUGAAUGUGUGAUGAGGUGAAUAGUGAAAAUAACCAAAAAGUGAAGAUGAAUGGAGCAAAAGAAGAAAAAGGAGAGCACCACCACCAUCACCACCACUAACAACAACAACAACAACAACAACAACAACAACACGCCUACUUCCCUCCACGCCACCUCAUCACGCUAUGGGGGACGAGCUCACCUUAUUAUCGCAGGUGUGACGCAUCCCCUGCAAGUCUUACCUGGCAAGAUCAUCUGAACUCAUUGAACGAAAGUAGCAACGAAGAGGAGGAGGAAGAGGAAAUGGAGACAAAGAGAAAGAACCUGUGGGAGAGAAAGAAGGAAGGACAAGAGAUGGGGGGAGGGGGAGGAAGGGGACUGACCGAACAGAUGCUUAAAUAAAACAGCUGUUGAGUAAGAGAGAAUAGUAAAAAAAAAAAAAAAGUGGGAAGGAGGAAUUUUCUAACCGUUUCCGUAUCAGGUGAAUUAUUGCUUUUAUGUGCUCUCUCUCUCUCUCUCUCUCUCUCUCUCUCUCUCUCUCUCUCUCUCUCUCUCUCUCUCUCUCUCUCUCUCUCUCUCUCGACGUUUACGUAAAGUUAUAUAAUCUUUAUAUUCAUUAACUAAUCUCUAAUUGCAUGAACAUUUUUUGUAUAUUUCACGUAUAUCAUUUGACACCUAAGGGCGCAAUAAAAUAAUCAACAACAAUCUCUCUCUCUCUCUCUCUCUCUCUCUCUCUCUCUCUCUCUCUCUCUCUCUCUCUCUCUCGUAGCAGUGUCGGGGAGGGAGUGGGCGUGGGCGUGGUGGGAGUCAGGCGGCACCGGAGCUUCCACUUGUGUUCAGACCUUUGGGUGAAUCAAACACUGGAGUGCCUGCCAGUGCUGCCAGAGCCGUCAGCACUGCCAAAGCGAGCACCGAGGGAGCUGAGGACGCCGCCACUGCUCAUGGUUCUGCUGCUACCUACGUUGUUGCUGGUGGUGGUGGUGGUGGUUCUGCUGCUGAGGAUGAUAAAUAUGAAGGCGUCAAAGAAACACAGCUAAGUAAUCUUUACCACUGUAUGUAAUUCAACAUUCGGAGUAUCUCAUUGGUAAAUUCAAUAUAUUUCCUCUUUAUAAUGUUAGUGAUUCGGAACUUGUUGAAUAACUGUACGAAGUUAACCUUAACCACAAUUACCCUGUUUUUAUUGAUACGCUGUAUAAAAAAAAAAAAAAAAGUAGGUCUCGAACUUGAUAAAGAAAAAAACUAAAUAAUGAACUCUAAAACUCUAAACAACAGCAAAACACAACUCAUUAACUCAACGCUUCACAUCACAUAAUUAUAACUAUGGACAUCAUCAUAUCUCUGAGGAAAGUAAAUGAACCCAAAUUCUUAGGGUGGGUGGUGGGUGGGUGGGUGUGUGUGUGUUUGUCCCUUAGAUUGUUACAUGAUAAAGUUACGAACGAAGAGCGAGAUGUUGUAAAGUCACGAACCAGGAGUGAGAUGUGAUGGACAUAAGAACCCGCGUCAGUGGUGAAGGGAGCAGAUUCAUCUCCUGCUCCACGCCGCGACUUUCCUCCAGGCCAGCGCGUCUCUGCACACAUAAUGUACAUGUCGUACACAAGAGGGAAGGUCAAAAGAAUACAUUCCAAGACGUCGCCUUACACCGAAGGCUCAGCCUGCUUUACUUUUCUCUACCAUAUUCCAAACUGCGGCAACCUUCUCUUAUCUUGUGGAGUAGAAAUCACUCUGGUAUUCCAUUACCACCAGCUUUCAGCGCCACCAGUCUUUCCAUGAUGAGCCAGUAACGACGUUACUGGACAUGACAACGAACGCUCCCAAGGCGCAGGAGAGAGAUAUAAAUCAUUUAAGAUGAGUCAAAUAUCCUGACAGUUACAUUCAUAAAUGUUCUCCAAUAAAUGUUCUUCAUCCUGGUUUCGGUAAAAAAAAUAAAUAAAUAAAAUAAAUAAAAUAAAUAUAAAAAAUAAAGCGAAAUUUAUGGCAUACAGUUUCUCCCUAAGCAUUGGCUUCUCAACACACAAUGAUUGUUGACAAAGGCCAAAGUAGAGGCGUAUUGCUGAUAAUUACUCUUUCUUUUCCUAUCCAGAGGAAUGUUAUGACAAAAGUAAAAGUUUCUAACCUUUCUAAAAGGCAAGAAUUUGAUUACAUUCCUGUUUUUUUAUAUUUUUUUUUUUAUGGUGCAUUAAAUUUAACUUUACAUUUUCAUUGUAAAACUAAAACCUGUUUCUGAACUUUUCUUCUUAUUUCCAUUUAACAUUUUACUCACAGUAACAAUAAUUACAUCUCCAGCGAUACACGCUAAUAUUUUUCUUUAACUAUUUGAGUUAUUUACAGAGAUAAGUCUUUUGCAGCUUUAAUGCACUAUUCUAACUAAAUACAUUAUGUAAAUUAAUUAAUAUAAUAUUUCUAUUAAUCAUUAGCUAUAAAAAAGUUCAUGUUAUUUAAUUACAUAUAAUUUUUAAAUGUAAAAUAAGAGAAUAAAUAGUAUACAUCUUGGCCACAUAAAUUCAAAGCAAGCCUCACCUGCCAAGCCUCUUAUCAGGAACUUCCUACUUAGACUUUUUUCACAAGUUUUAAAAAUGUUAACAAAGGUGGGAAUCACAUACAAUCUAUUACAGCAAAUUUAUGAUCAUUUAAGAUUUUAUUGUAUAAUUAAGUCUUCUCACGGUUUGAUUUAAUUCUCCAAGACUCCUACUUAAUAUAACCGUUAUCUUUAUCGGUGUUCUUCAACAAAUUGUACAAAGUUUAGGAAGAAGUCUCCAGCCUAACACCCUCACUGAAUCAAUCAUAAUAUAUUCUUCAUCUAAAACAUUUAUCAAGUGUCCUGCUUUAUACUCAUCCCUACAAAUAAGAAAAUUACACAAUGUAUACAUUACCGUUUAACAUGUAGCCAUAACGUAUAUAAAAAUAAAUAAAGCAAUCUAAUAAAUCCACUUUAUAAAAGCUACUGCCAAAAUUUUAUCUCCUGAGAAAAAAAUAAUAAUUAAUAAUCAGCCAAAAAUGGGAACCCACAUGGAGGUAAAUCAGCAACUGUUACAUAAGAUAGCGUGAAAGGAAUAUAAUUACCUCACUUUCCAAUGAACCGAAUAUCCUGAGCGCCUCCUGUGCUGUGACUCGCCACUCCUGCACACACACACGCCAAAUUAAAGCAACCCUUGAUAAAUAAAUAAAAAAAAAAAAAGCUAAAUUGGUGUGAGACAAAAUUCAUAAUAUAACCCUUAAUUGUCUAGAAGCUGAUGAAGUAAUGGUGAGGAUAGAACAAAGCCACACUCAGAAUUAGAGCCUCAGCCUGCCAUCAAUAUCGUGAGACAAGAUUCAAACAAAACCUUGCUGGUGCCUUUACGCGAUCAUUCCAGGUCUGUAACCGAUAAAGUUUAUUUUCAACUCAUUAGUUUACUUUAGACUAUACAUGACCUAUUGUAAGUAACUUUAACAUCCAGGUGGGUUGAUGCUACAGAGGUUAGCUGGUGUGGUGUAUAUAAUCGCUAUUUUUUAUUUAUUUAUUUAUUUUUCUUUUACACAUUUGAUGACUAGGCACCUAAAGAACAUAGUUAUUGCAAUCUGUAAUUUAGACUUACUUAUUCAACAUUUCAUAUCGAGAAAACUCCUUGUCAAGACACGGGAGAAUAUUGCGGAGAUGUGUAAGCAAGAGAUGCCUUCAGCCGCCAUGCUUCCGUUGUAUCAUUAGUUACUUUGUACGUUGUUAAGCCUUUUCUGGCAUAAUAAUUACUUGAAGCGGAAAAUCAUGUAUAAAAAGGAUGAUUUUGAUAAAUAACGCAGACCUGCAGAGUGUCCUUUCAAACAAGCAUAUUCAGAUUGCCGUUGGAAACACCCGCUCGAUCAGUUGUUUGCACAGGUGGGUAUCGUGUGGCAGCGCGGGCGCGUCUUUCCACUCUCUUCAGAUCGGAGCGUAACACUUUUAAGGCAAGUAUCAAAAUAAAGCUGACUAAAGGUGGACGAGGCAA